rnacentral:SRP_RNA from 1 species
GGGUAAGUUAUGUACGACUAGCUCCCUCUGAAUCCCCCAGGACAGGAAUGUAGCAAGGGUAAGAGGUUGUAGCAGUGCGAUGCAUGUUGCUUA